rnacentral:rRNA from 1 species
GAUGGACGCUGGCGGCGUGCCUAAUACAUGCAAGUCGAGCGAACAGACGAGGAGCUUGCUCCUCUGACGUUAGCGGCGGACGGGUGAGUAACACGUGGAUAACCUACCUAUAAGACUGGGAUAACUUCGGGAAACCGGAGCUAAUACCGGAUAAUAUAUUGAACCGCAUGGUUCAAUAGUGAAAGACGGUUUUGCUGUCACUUAUAGAUGGAUCCGCGCCGCAUUAGCUAGUUGGUAAGGUAACGGCUUACCAAGGCAACGAUGCGUAGCCGACCUGAGAGGGUGAUCGGCUACACUGGAACUGAGACACGGUCCAGACUCCUACGGGAGGCAGCAGUAGGGAAUCUUCCGCAAUGGGCGAAAGCCUGACGGAGCAACGCCGCGUGAGUGAUGAAGGUCUUCGGAUCGUAAAACUCUGUUAUUAGGGAAGAACAAAUGUGUAAGUAACUAUGCACGUCUUGACGGUACCUAAUCAGAAAGCCACGGCUAACUACGUG